GACGAGAAAAGGGGAGCAUCCUCUGAGUAAAGCGGCGCACGGGUGAGUAACACGUGGGUAACCUACCCUAGAGUGGGGAAUAACACCGGGAAACCGGUGCUAAUACCGCAUACGAUCACGAUGUCUUCGGAUGUUGUGAUGAAAGGAGCAAUUCGCUCUUGGAGGGGCCCGCGGCUGAUUAGCUUGUUGGUGAGGUAACGGCUCACCAAGGCUACGAUCAGUAUCCGGUCUGAGAGGACGGUCGGCCACACUGGCACUGAAACACGGGCCAGACUCCUACGGGAGGCAGCAGUGGGGAAUCUUGCACAAUGGGCGAAAGCCUGAUGCAGCGACGCCGCGUGAGCGAUGAAGCCCUUCGGGGUGUAAAGCUCUUUCGACGGGAACGAUAAUGACGGUACCCGGAGAAGAAGCCCCGGCUAACUACGUGCCAGCAGCCGCGGUAAAACGUAGGGGGCCAGCGUUGCUCGGAAUUACUGGGCGUAAAGGGUCCGUAGGCGGUGUGGCAAGUUGGUAGUGAAAUCUCUGGGCUUAACCCAGAGGCUGCUGCCAAAACUGCCAUGCUAGAGUGUGAGAGAGGCGAGUGGAAUUACGGGUGUAGCGGUGAAAUGCGUAGAUUCCGUAGGAACAUCCGAGGCGAAGGCGGCUCGCUGGAUCACAACUGACGCUGAGGGGACGAAAGCUAGGGGGAGCAAACAGGAUUCAGAUACCCUGGUAGUCCUAGGCCCUAAACCAUCCAGGAACUUUGGGGGUUGUGCCCCUUGGUACACGGGGGGCAACGUCCCCGGUAAAGCUAACAGG
rnacentral:rRNA from 1 species